CUUUCACAUCAUAUAAAUGUUUCAUCUGUUCACUGCUAUGUAGGCCAUUCCAAUUCUUGGCAUGUUUUUCAACGUGGUCAUUUUGCUGGUCACACAAGAAUUGGUCAGGGUACAGAUUUUGUCCUUGCUCAUAACCAUUUUGAGCAUCAUUUAUCAGUAGAUGAUCAUUCCACCUUCCAUCAGGCUUUCGAGCUUCCUGUGAUUGCUCCUCAG
rnacentral:lncRNA from 1 species